ACGGGAGUUUUUAACUCUAGUGGCGGACGGGUGAGUAACACGUGAGAAUUUGCCUUUAGGAGGGGGACAACAACUGGAAACGGUUGCUAAUACCCCAUAUGCUUUCGAGUGAAAUGGAUUUCCGCCUAAAGAGAAGCUUGCGGCUGAUUAGCUUGUUGGUGAGGUAAUGGCUUACCAAGGCGACGAUCAGUAUCUGGUUUGAGAGGACGAUCAGACACACUGGAACUGAGACACGGUCCAGACUCCUACGGGAGGCAGCAGUGGGGAAUUUUCCGCAAUGGGCGAAAGCCUGACGGAGCAAUACCGCGUGAGGGAUGAAGGCCUAUGGGUUGUAAACCUCUUUUUUCAGGGAGGAAUAAAUGACGUGUACCUGAAGAAUAAGCAUCGGCUAACUCCGUGCCAGCAGCCGCGGUAAGACGGGGGAUGCAAGUGUUAUCCGGAAUCACUGGGCGUAAAGCGUCUGUAGGUGGUUAAAUAAGCCAACUGUUAAAUCUUGAGGCUUAACUUCAAAAUCGCAGUCGAAACUGUUUGACUAGAGUAUAGUAGGGGUAAAGGGAAUUUCCAGUGGAGCGGUGAAAUGCGUAGAUAUUGGAAAGAACACCGAUGGCGAAGGCACUUUACUGGGCUAUUACUAACGCUGAGAGACGAAAGCUAGGGUAGCAAAUGGGAUUAGAUACCCCAGUAGUCCUAGCUGUAACAAUGGAUACUAGAUGUUGAACAGAUCGACCUGUGCAGUAUCAAAGCUAACGCGUUAAGUAUCCCGCCUGGGAAGUAUGCUCGCAAGAGUGAAACUCAAAGGAA
rnacentral:rRNA from 1 species